rnacentral:rRNA from 1 species
GAGUGGCGAACGGGUGAGUAAUGCAUCGGAACGUGCCCAGUAGUGGGGAACAACCAGUCGAAAGACUGGCUAAUACCGCAUACGAUCUAUGGAUGAAAGCGGGGGACCUUCGGGCCUCGCGCGAUUGGAGCGGCCGAUGUUAGAUUAGGUAGUUGGUGGGGUAAAGGCUCACCAAGCCGACGAUCUAUAGCUGGUCUGAGAGGACGACCAGCCACACUGGAACUGAGACACGGUCCAGACUCC